AAGAUUGAUGGUUUAACUGGAAGAACACCUGGAUCAUCUCUGGAAGUGUGAGUUCGAAUCUCGCUCAGUCUUU
rnacentral:tRNA from 1 species